AAGCGGUAUUUGAAUCUGAACUUAUGAUCAAAUGUAGCUUAAAUGACACUUUGCCACAUUUUAGCUGCACACUAAAGCUCUAAAUACAUUUUCGUUGGCUUUGGGAAGGCGCUUCCUCGUAUUAUUUAUAUUUCAGUUUAUUAUGCAAUAUAUUUCCAACUUAUACGACCACAUGAGGAUCAUGCGCAUGCGACAAGUUUGCUCCACAUUUUGACUCUGCGCCGCCGUGCUUCACCCUCGCCCCUCGCCUCGUCACGAAGGAGUCAUCGCCAUUAGUAUCAUCGGAAUGUCGUUGGAACCGUUGCAAGACGUUUGAACGGUCUCCGCGCUCGCUCGUCCAUUUGUGAACAAAGGAGGCCGUGAUUUUGUGUCGUAUGGGGUAAGCUGUGUGAUCGAAGUGUGUGAUUAAGCUUCACUUGUAUUCACACCAUGACUGUUGGCUUUUGUUGUUUGUUUGGAGCAGCGGCUGCAGUGUUGCGUCCCGCCAGGUAAGUGUACAAGUAUCAGUUCGUGGCCGGUGUUGCUUCUGCUAAUUUCAUUCUCGUUGUUGCAGGCCAUGAAAGAAGGAAGGAGGAUAUGAUUUUGCGUCGGUAAUGGGUUUUUGUUGUUUGUUCGGAGCAGCGGCUGCAGUGUUGCGUCCCGUCAGGCUCUACUUUGUUGAACACUAAGCUGGACACAUAUCUCUCCAGCGCUUCAGAGACGUCGCUGGCGCCGAAAUUCUAGCUGUUUCACCGUGGGUCGCCAGAAGAACAGUAGAUCAUUGACUGUCAAUUGUGCGACGCGACACUAUGUGGCACGAAGGAUGUGUACGUGUGAAAUACGUAACUACUGUGUGCGCGGGAUGUUUUGUAUGAUUGUGUCAACACUGGAUACCACUUUCAAGGUAUGCAUUUUCGGAAUAAAGUAGAUACAUAUAUAAUUUUGCAGUACUUCAUUUCGUGUAUUUUGUGCGUGUUGCGAGUAAGUGAACAUAUGCACUCUUAAAAAUGAACUUCACCGCAUAGCAUAGCCGACCAUCAACUCGAAUGAUAUCGCUAUGUGACCUGAUUUGUUCAAAACGGUAGGCGCACGGCUUUUUUGUGAUACUUACGCUGUUCAUAAUUGUCACAAAAAUGGCGUACACCUCCCGUUUUCAGGCAGAUAACGAUAUUCGAGAUGAUGAUUGGCCAGGAGUGUGCUAUGCGGUGAAGUUCAUUUCUAAGAGAGUGGAGUCACAGGAAGUCUACAAAAAGUCUUCACAUCAUACGCGGGAUGGUGUUACUAGAAUUAUGUUGACAGUACACAGAAAGAGAACAAAAAAUUCCACAGCUAUUCUGUAGCCAAAUGUCUACAGAAAGUUGAGGGCCAUAAGUCAACAAGAAGUAAACAUAUGAUGUAAACAUGAAAGCAACACAAACUCUGAAGAAUGUUUGUUUUCCAUGUUGACCUUGGUCUGUAGAAAGUAAACAGAAACUAAACACCCAUUUUCAUAAGGGAAUUCCCAGGCCGAGGGCUUGACCACAGGAAGAAGGUAUUCAAUUUCCGGCUUUCCAGGGCACCAAGAGUUGUUGAAAAUGCAUUUGGAGUAA